CAUGACAGGAUAACGACGUUGCAUAUCCUCUGCACUUCUUUUGUAUCUUGAUAUUUGCCCAUGUCUAUGAUGUUUAUUGUGAUGGAGAUGACGAUGACAAAGACAUGUUGAUUCAAGUUCUUUGCUUGCAUUUGCAUAUUUGCAUACAUGAUGAUCGUGAAAGAAAGAGUUCCCUACCUUGGGUAGGCACAUUGAGACCUCCAUUGUUGGGUUGCGACCUACUGUGGAGGCAACCUCCACAAGUUGGAGUGAGUGGAUGUCGACGGGCGUCCACUCAAGCGAUACCGGUAAAUCCUGAGGACGACAUGCAUGGGAGUCUUGGGAGUAGCAUCUUCACCGUUUUCACUUCACGAAACUCACACCUAUUGUCCUUUAGGACGGUGUUUUGAGAACCUAGUAUAGUUGUACUUUACUACCUGUGGUGGUUCAUCUUGAAUUGGAGAGAUACCCUCUUGGUCUGUAUGGCUUAGCUAAUUUCCCCUUAAGACUAACGCUAUCGCCUAAAGUUACCGAGGAUGUUCUCGGUUAUGGUAUUGUAGCCUUGUGCUUUACACCGGUGCUAGUUCUUUGCGAUAUAUAUACUAUAUGAAUUGCAUGU